rnacentral:rRNA from 1 species
GGAAUAUUGCACAAUGGGCGAAAGCCUGAUGCAGCGACGCCGCGUGAGGGAUGACGGCCUUCGGGUUGUAAACCUCUUUCAGUAGGGAAGAAGCGAAAGUGACGGUACCUGCAGAAGAAGCGCCGGCUAACUACGUGCCAGCAGCCGCGGUAAUACGUAGGGCGCAAGCGUUAUCCGGAUUUAUUGGGCGUAAAGAGCUCGUAGGCGGUUUGUCGCGUCUGCCGUGAAAGUCCGAGGCUCAACUUCGGAUCUGCGGUGGGUACGGGCAGACUAGAGUGAUGUAGGGGAGACUGGAAUUCCUGGUGUAGCGGUGAAAUGCGCAGAUAUCAGGAGGAACACCGAUGGCGAAGGCAGGUCUCUGGGCAUCUACUGACGCUGAGGAGCGAAAGCAUGGGGAGCGAACAGGAUUAGAUACCCCAG